GACCGUGUAGCUCAGUUAGCAGAGCAUUGGGCUAGCAUUCCAAAGGUCGUAGGUUCGAUUCCCACCGUGGUCA
rnacentral:tRNA from 1 species